rnacentral:ncRNA from 2 species
CUUUCCGUCUGCGCCGAUUUGAGGAACAGCUUGCGGGCGCAUUACAAAUACUGCUAAAGCGAGGGAAACCCGGU